GCAGCCCAGUAAGUCUCAGCCUCAUUUCACCUGGCCCCUAUUCAAGAUGGAGUCACUCUUGUUCAAACGCCUCUGACAGGGUGACAACUGUGACCACAACAGAUUCACAAACAUGACAUUUUCAGAGAGAGGAAGGAGCCAACCUCUCCUGCUCUUAGUCUAUGUGAUUUGGAUACAGCCAACUACAUUCCCCAGGUCCAGAAAUGAACACGCCAUCCAAGUGAAGCCAUGAGAGACAGCUGCAGGACUUUUGUUGGAACUAUUGGGAAAGUGGCAUUUCUUUUUCUGCCAUGGUUACUUAUCUGCUGUGCUCUAAGCCUGGAACUGCUGGAUGUCAUCUUCGCUGAAUGAAAAUGAAGUCAGUAUUGAGGACAGUAGAGGUGAGAGGGAGAGAGGCAUAAUCCUGAGUGUAUUGUAGGGGCACCUGGAUCCAGCCGUACCUGAAAUCCGCCACUUUCCAUUCUAAGAACCAAUAAAUUCCCUUUGUACUCAA